GAUGCCUUGGCACUGAGAGCCGAUGAAGGGCGUGGCCAGCCACGAAACCGCUCCGGUGAGGUGCAAGCAACCUUUGACCCGGAGAUCCCCGAAUUGGGAAACCAGAUGUCCGUAACGGGACAUCAGCGCCGCCUGAACACAUAGGGCGGCAGCAGGUAAGCGGGCGAAUUGAAACAUCUUAGUAGCCCGAGGAAAAGAAAGCAACCGCGAUUCCCCUAGUAGUGGCGAACGAACGGGGAACAGCCUAAACCCGAUGCGUGCUCAAGCUCGCAGGCGUUGCGUAUCGGGGGUCGUGGGAAGAGCUGUCGCACCGCUGCGACGGUGCGGGACAGUUACAAAGCCGCUGUCUAGUCGAAGCACUCUGGAAAGGUGCGCCGCAGAAGGUAAUAGCCCUGUAGACGAAAGCCAAGCGGCCUGUCUAAGCUCUCUCCCAAGUAGCAUGGGACACGAGAAAUCCCGUGUGAAUCUGGAGGGACCACCCUCUAAGGCUAAAUACUCUCAGUGACCGAUAGUGAACCAGUACCGUGAGGGAAAGGUGAAAAGAACCCCGGGAGGGGAGUGAAAUAGAACCUGAAAUCGUGUGCCUACGAACGGUGGGAGCCCGGUGGCCCGUAAGGGUCUGGGUGACCGCGUGCUUUUUGUAUAACGAACCGGCGAGUCACGGUAUGUGGCAAGGCUAAGCGGUGAACCGUGGAGCCGAAGCGAAAGCGAGUCCUAACUAGGGCGUCACAGUCGC
rnacentral:rRNA from 1 species